GAUGAACGCUAGCGGCAGGCUUAACACAUGCAAGUCGAGGGGUAUAGUUCUUCGGAACUAGAGACCGGCGCACGGGUGCGUAACGCGUAUGUAAUCUACCUUUUACAGGGGGAUAGCCCAGAGAAAUUUGGAUUAAUACCCCAUAGUAUGUUGUGGUGGCAUCACUAUAACAUUAAAGUUCCAACGGUAAAAGAUGAGCAUGCGUCCCAUUAGCUAGAUGGUAAGGUAACGGCUUACCAUGGCUACGAUGGGUAGGUGUCCUGAGAGGGUGGUCCCCCACACUGGAACUGAGACCCGGACCAGAAUCCUACGGGAGGCAGCAGUGAGGAAUAUUGGUCAAUGGGCGCAAGCCUGAACCAGCCAUGCCGCGUGCAGGAAGAAUGCCCUAUGGGUUGUAAACUGCUUUUGUACAGGAAGAAACACUCCCUCGUGAGGGAGCUUGACGGUACUGUAAGAAUAAGGAUCGGCUAACUCCGUGCCAGCCGCCGCCGUAA
rnacentral:rRNA from 1 species